CCUACGGGCGGCAGCAGUGGGGAAUAUUGCACAAUGGGGGAAACCCUGAUCCAGCGACGCCGCGUGAGUGAAGAAGUAUUUCGUUACGUAAAGCUCUAUCAGCAGGAAAGAAAAUGACGGUACCUGACUAAGAAGCCCCGGCUAACUACGUGCCAGCAGCCGCGGUAAUACGUAGGGGGCAAGCGUUAUCCGGAUUUACUGGGUGUAAAGGGAGCGUAGACGGUAGGGCAAGUCUGGAGUGAAAUGCCGGGGCUCAACUCCGGAACUGCUCUGGAAACUGGGAAGCUGGAGUGCAGGAGAGGUAAGCGGAAUUCCUGGUGUAGCGGUGAAAUGCGUAGAUAUCAGGAGGAACACCGGCGGCGAAGGCGGCUUACUGGACUGUAACUGACGUUGAGGCUCGAAGGCGUGGGGAGCAAACAGGAUUAGAUACCCGGGUAGUC
rnacentral:rRNA from 1 species